GACGAACGCUGGCGGCGUGCCUAAUACAUGCAAGUCGAACGCACUUUCGUUAGAUUGAAGAAGCUUGCUUCUGAUUGAUAACAUUUGAGUGAGUGGCGGACGGGUGAGUAACACGUGGGUAACCUGCCCUAAAGUGGGGGAUAACAUUUGGAAACAGAUGCUAAUACCGCAUAAAACCUAGCACCGCAUGGUGCAAGGUUGAAAGAUGGUUUCGGCUAUCACUUUAGGAUGGACCCGCGGUGCAUUAGUUAGUUGGUGAGGUAAAGGCUCACCAAGACCGUGAUGCAUAGCCGACCUGAGAGGGUAAUCGGCCACACUGGGACUGAGACACGGCCCAGACUCCUACGGGAGGCAGCAGUAGGGAAUCUUCCACAAUGGACGAAAGUCUGAUGGAGCAACGCCGCGUGAGUGAAGAAGGUUUUCGGAUCGUAAAACUCUGUUGUUGGAGAAGAACGUAUUUGAUAGUAACUGAUCAGGUAGUGACGGUAUCCAACCAG
rnacentral:rRNA from 1 species